GGGACUAUAGUUAAUAAUAACAUUUGAGUUGCAUUCAAAAAGUACUACUUUAUAGUAGUUAGCCUCA
rnacentral:tRNA from 1 species